CUCUCACCAGGGAUGAGGAACAACUCCUCAUGAAAGGACUUUCCUUUGUAACUAAUCCCCCUAAUGCAUUUGACAGUGAAAUUGAACUGUUUAAAUUUGGGAGAAAUCUGCGUUUGAAAGAAUUUUUUAAAGGGACGGUACAAUCUACUGAUUCCAAUAUGCACCAAUUCAGAGUUAAGAGCACAUUCGACCCUGCAACUUCUCAUGCUUCUAUUAAAACUUUCUUGAGAAAUGUACAACAAGAAAUGAACAAAGCAG